AUGUUUUUAUUUCAGGGUUUAUUGACAUUCAGGGAUGUGGCCAUAGAAUUCUCUCAGGAGGAGUGGAGAUGCCUGGACCCUGCUCAGAGGACUUUAUACAGGGACGUGAUGUUGGAGAACUACAGGAACCUGGUCUCCCUGGAUAUCUUUUCUAAAUGUGAGACCAAAGAAUUACCACCAGAAGAGAAGAGUAAUACAGGAGAAACAUUCCAAACAGUAAUGUUGGAAAGAAUGAAAACCAGGGCGUGGGAGAUGUCUCCUGCAGAGAAAUCCAGAACAACUUACAUGACUCUCAAUGUUGGUGGAGACAUGAUGAAAGACAUUACAAAUUUAUGACCUAUAAGGGUAGAAAGGAUGACACGCAAACUUACCCUAUUAAAAGCCAGCUUGGAUUAAACGUCCAGUCACAUCUACCAGAACUGCAGGUAUUUCAAACUGAAGGGAAAACAUAUCAAUAUAAUCACACGGAAAAAAAAUUGAUCAACAGUAGUUCCUUAGUUUCCCCACCCCAAAGUAUUUCUUCUGCUGUCAAAACCCACCUUUCUCAUACAUAUAAAUGUCAUCUUACGGAUUCUGUAUUCACAGAAAAAGAGAGCAGAUGUUCAGACAGAACGUUACAAAUAUAACGAGUGUGGCAAGACCUUUCAUCAAGGCUUACAUUUUACUGUGUAUCAAAUAAUCCAUUCUGAAGAGAAGCAAUUUAAAUGUGAUAUAUGUGGCAACAUCUUCAAUAAAAAAUCAAACCUUGCAAGUCAUCGAAGAAUUCAUACCGGAGAGAAACCAUAUAAAUGUAAUUAAAUGGUCUUCAAUAAUAUUUCACACCUUGGGCAGCAUCGCAGGAUUCAUACCGGAGAGAAACCUUAUAAAUGUAACGAAUGUAGCAAAGUCUUCAGUCAAAUAUCACACCUUACGCAACAUCGAAGAAUUCAUACCGGAGAGAAACCUUAUAAAUGUAAUGAAUGUGGAAAGGUGUUCCAUCAGAUUUCACACCUUGCACAACAUGGGACAAUUCAUACCGGAGAGAAACCUCACAAAUGUCAUGGAUGCGGCAAGGUCUUUAGUCGCAAUUCAUACCUUGCCUAACAUCUGGUAAUUCAUACUGGUGAGAAACCUUACUGGUGUGAUGAAUGUGACAAAGGGUUCAGUCAAAAUUCACACCGGAGAGAAACCCUACAAAUGUAAUGAGUGCGGAAAGGUCUUCAGUCUAAACUCAUCCCUAGCACAUCAUAGGAAAAUUCACACUGGAGAGAAACCUUUUAAAUGCAAUGAAUGCGGCAAAACCUUUAGUGUGCGUUCAAGCCUUACUAACCAUUAUGUUAUCCAUGCUGGAGAGAAACCUUUCAAAUGCAAUAAUGCCGCAGAGCGUUCAGUCAGUAUUAAAGCCUUCCAGGACAUAGGGUAAUUUAUAUAGGAGAGUUGGGCGUGGUAGCUCCAUCCUGUAAUCCCAGCACUUUGGGAGGCUGAGGUGAAUGGAUCACCUGAGGUCAGGAGUUCAAGAAGCCUGACCAACAUGACGAAACAUGUCUUUACUAAAAAUACAGAUUAGCCUGUGGUGUUCGCGCCAAGGGCUCAAGACAGCUAGUUGACUCGCCCCAGUUUGGCUGCUGGACCUAUACUGCAUUUCCCACCUCGAGGGCUGUCGAGUGAGACAGGGCCGUGAGCUGACUCCCUAAAAGCAACAACAGAAUGCAAAGCAAAGGUCUGCAGUUUAUGAGGACAUUGUGCUGUCUGCUUCCAUGUCCCCCUUCAGUCUCUGUGUAAGCAAUAAACUUGCUGCAAUUGAGAUGCCUAAGAGGAGCAGAGACCUCUGCCCAUCUUUUCCCUGGAGCUAGGCCUUUGUCUUAGCUCCUGGUGAAAAACAGGUUUAACCAGCCACCUUAAGGGCGCCAUUGUAUCUUUGAAAUGUAAAAUCUUUGAAAUGUAAACUACUACCACUAGCCCCCUUAAACUGCCUUCUGUGCGGAUAUCACAAGCCCCUGAUAACUAUUUUAUGGAGUUUCUGUUUCCUUUCUGUCUACCCCUUUGUUUCUUUCUGCUGAGAUAAGGUAAAUGUAAACAAGACAAAAGGUAUAAAAGCUGUAACCCACAAAAAUAAAUUUGCUGCGUUUUGGCCAUAAUCUUCACGCAGCCCUCCAG